rnacentral:rRNA from 1 species
UACGUAGGGUGCAAGCGUUGUCCGGAAUUAUUGGGCGUAAAGAGCUCGUAGGCGGUCUGUCGCGUCUGCUGUGAAAACUCAGGGCUUAACCCUGAGCUUGCAGUGGGUACGGGCAGACUAGAGUGCGGUAGGGGAGACUGGAAUUCCUGGUGUGGCGGUGAAAUGCGCAGAUAUCAGGAGGAACACCGGUGGCGAAGGCGGGUCUCUGGGCCGAAACUGACGCUGAGGAGCGAAAGCGUGGGGAGCGAACAGG